rnacentral:tRNA from 2 species
GCCGACGUAGCUCAACGGUAGAGCAGCUGAUUUGUAAUCAGCAGGUUGGGGGUUCGAGUCCGCCCGUCGGCUCCA